GGAACGGUGUCCGAGUGGUUGAAGGAGCACGCCUGGAAAGCGUGUAUAGGGGCAACUCUAUCGAGAGUUCGAAUCUCUCCCGUUCCG
rnacentral:tRNA from 1 species